AUUGAACGCUGGCGGCAGGCCUAACACAUGCAAGUCGAGCGGCAGCGGGACCUUCGGGUUGCCGGCGAGCGGCGGACGGGUGAGUAAUGCCUAGGAAUCUGCCUGUUAGUGGGGGAUAACGCGGGGAAACUCGCGCUAAUACCGCAUACGUCCUACGGGAGAAAGCGGGGGCUCUUCGGACCUCGCGCUAACAGAUGAGUCUAGGUCGGAUUAGCUAGUUGGUGGGGUAAUGGCCCACCAAGGCGACGAUCCGUAACUGGUCUGAGAGGAUGAUCAGUAACACUGGAACUGAGACACGGUCCAGACUCCUACGGGAGGCAGCAGUGGGGAAUAUUGGACAAUGGGCGAAAGCCUGAUCCAGCCAUGCCGCGUGUGUGAAGAAGGUCUUCGGAUUGUAAAGCACUUUAAGUCGGGAGGAAGGGCUGUAGGCUAAUACCUUGCAGUUUUGACGUUACCGACAGAAUAAGCACCGGCUAACUUCGUGCCAGCCGCCGCCGUAACAC
rnacentral:rRNA from 1 species